rnacentral:rRNA from 1 species
GAUGAACGCUAGCUACAGGCUUAACACAUGCCAGUCGAGGGGAAACGGCAUUAAGUGCUUGCACUUUUUGGACGUCGACCGGCGCACGGGUGAGUAACGCGUAUCCAACCUUCCCAUGACUAAGGGAUAACCUGCCGAAAGGCAGACUAAUACCUUAUGGUCUUCACUGACGGCAUCAGAUGUGAAGUAAAGAUUUAUCGGUUAUGGAUGGGGAUGCGUCUGAUUAGCUUGUUGGCGGGGUAACGGCCCACCAAGGCAACGAUCAGUAGGGGUUCUGAGAGGAAGGUCCCCCACAUUGGAACUGAGACACGGUCCAAACUCCUACGGGAGGCAGCAGUGAGGAAUAUUGGUCAAUGGGCGAGAGCCUGAACCAGCCAAGUAGCGUGCAGGAUGACGGCCCUAUGGGUUGUAAACUGCUUUUGUAUGGGGAUAAAGUCAAUCACGUGUGAUUGUUUGCAGGUACCAUACGAAUAAGGACCGGCUAAUUCCGU